UCAUGGCUCAGAAUGAACGCUGGCGGCGUGCCUAACACAUGCAAGUCGAACGGGAAAGGUCGAAAGACUGAGUAGAGUGGCGGACGGGUGAGUAAAAUAUAGGUAUCUGCCCUUUAGAGGAGAAUACCAUCGAGAAAUCGGUGUUAAUACUGCAUAAGCCCAGAGAUGGGGAAAGGUGGCCUCAAAGCUACCGCUAAAGGAUGAGCCUGUAACCUAUUAGCUAGUUGGUGGGGUAAGAGCCUACCAAGGCAAAGAUGGGUAACCGGCCUGAGAGGGUGUACGGUCACACUGGAACUGAGACACGGUCCAGACUCCUACGGGAGGCAGCAGUGGGGGAUAUUGCACAAUGGGCGCAAGCCUGAUGCAGCGACGCCGCGUGGAGGAUGAAGGUUUUCGGAUUGUAAACUCCUGUUACGUGGGAAAAAAUGCCCUGUUUGAAUAAAGCAGGGAGCUGAUGGUACCACGAGAGAAAGCACCGGCAAACUUCGUGCCAGCAGCCGCGGUAAUACGAAGGGUGCAAGCGUUAUUCGGAAUAACUGGGUGUAAAGCGCGUGAAGGCGGUUUUAUAAGUCAUUUGUAAAAGAGCUCGGCUUAACUGAGCAACUGCAGACGAUACUGUAGAACUAGAGUGCAGGAGAGAAAGGUAGAAUUCUCGGAGUAGCGGUAAAAUGCGUAGAUCUCGAGAGGAAUACCGGUUGCGAAGGCGGCCUUUUGGCCUGUAACUGACGCUCAAGCGCGAAAGCGUGGGUAGCAAACAGGAUUAGAUACCCUGGUAGUCCACGCUG
rnacentral:rRNA from 1 species